rfam:Medicago truncatula strain A17 chromosome 5, whole genome shotgun sequence.
UUACAUAUCUGGACAGAGUCUUUGGGUGAUCAAGGAGGCUCAUAACUUAGACUGAUAACUUCCAUUACACUAAAAAGGAAGGGAAUUGGUCUAAGGUCUACCCAACGUUUGUAGCACCUACUACGUCGUGAUUUGUUGUUGUGAGGGGCUGUGUACGUGCGGAUCUCUC